UUGCUUACAACCUCAAGUGAUUUAUUUUUUGUAUGUCUUAAUCAGCAAAGAAGAAAGAAAUGACGCCAUCAAAAAGUACAGACAAGCAAUUAUUAAAGUUGAAGAAGUCGAAUUAAAAAUUAAAAUAAAAAUGGAUAAACAACAGAAAGUAAAUAGAAAAAGUCAAUAUGAUUCUCUGUGUUUUGUUGAUCAAUUAGACGGGGAUGAAUUUUUUAAUACUGUCUUUCAAGAUGACUAAAAUAUAUUGAAAAAUCUAAAUAAUGAUACCCUUGAAAUAUAUGAAGAAUAUAAGAAAAAGUUUACAACAGUAUGUCCAGGAAUUGUACAAAUUUGGAGGAGAUCAACACGUUGUUAGGACGAAAGAAAUUAAUGAAUUUUUUUCAGUCGUUCGAAAAGCUCGAGAAAAUGUUUAAGAUCAUUGGGACAAUAAAAACAGGAAAAAUAAUUAUGAUUUAGUG